GAUGAACGCUAGCGGGAGGCUUAACACAUGCAAGUCGAGGGGCAGCAUGGGGUAGCAAUACCCUGAUGGCGACCGGCAGACGGGUGAGUAACGCGUAUGUAACCUACCCUGUACAGGGGGAUAACCCGGAGAAAUUCGGACUAAUAUCCCAUAACAAUAUUCGGAGGCAUCUUUGGAUAUUUAAAGUUCCGGCGGUACGGGAUGGGCAUGCGUAACAUUAGCUAGUUGGUAAGGUAACGGCUUACCAAGGCUUUGAUGUUUAGGGGUCCUGAGAGGGUGGUCCCCCACACUGGUACUGAGACACGGACCAGACUCCUACGGGAGGCAGCAGUGAGGAAUAUUGGUCAAUGGGCGCAAGCCUGAACCAGCCAUCCCGCGUGCAGGAAGACGGCCCUAUGGGUUGUAAACUGCUUUUCCAGGGGGAGAAACUUGCGCACGUGUUGCGCAAUUGACGGUACCCUGGGAAUAAGCAUCGGCUAACUCCGUG
rnacentral:rRNA from 1 species